rnacentral:rRNA from 1 species
GACGAACGCUGGCGGCGUGCUUAACACAUGCCAGUCGAACGGAAAGGCCCUGCUUUUGUGGGGUGCUCGAGUGGCGAACGGGUGAGUAACACGUGAGUAACCUGCCCUUGACUUUGGGAUAACUUCAGGAAACUGGGGCUAAUACCGGAUAGGAGCUCCUGCUGCAUGGUGGGGGUUGGAAAGUUUCGGCGGUUGGGGAUGGACUCGCGGCUUACCAGCUUGUUGGUGGGGUAGUGGCUUACCAAGGCUUUGACGGGUAGCCGGCCUGAGAGGGUGACCGGCCACAUUGGGACUGAGAUACGGCCCAGACUCCUACGGGAGGCAGCAGUGGGGAAUAUUGCACAAUGGGUGGAAGCCUGAUGCAGCAACGCCGCGUGCGGGAUGACGGCCUUCGGGUUGUAAACCGCUUUCGCCUGUGACGAAGCGUGAGUGACGGUAAUGGGUAAAGAAGCACCGGCUAACUACGUG